rnacentral:misc_RNA from 1 species
CAAAAAAAAAUAAUAAAAAAUAAAAUAAAAUAAAAACCCUAGUCAUUAUGGGAAAAGGAAUAGAGAUAAUUUUCAAACUUAGUAGAAUAGCUACUGUAUAACUAAUGUUUCAUUAUUCCGCUGUUACCUUAUGUUUUAUUAUCCCACUGCCAUAUAAAGAAGAAAGAAUUAUCAACGUAAGGAGAAUUUUUUUUAUACAAAA